rnacentral:rRNA from 1 species
UACGUAGGGUGCAAGCGUUAAUCGGAAUUACUGGGCGUAAAGCGUGCGCAGGCGGCUUUGCAAGUCAGAUGUGAAAUCCCCGGGCUUAACCUGGGAACUGCAUUUGUGACUGCAUGGCUGGAGUGCGGCAGAGGGGGAUGGAAUUCCGCGUGUAGCAGUGAAAUGCGUAGAUAUGCGGAGGAACACCGAUGGCGAAGGCAACCACCUGGGCCUGCAUUGACGCUGAGGAGCGAAAGCCAGGGGAGCAAACGGG